GGGAAGGAUUCCCAGAUCAUUAAUUCCAACCAGAUAUCACAGCAAGGUCUAACGGAGUCACUCGUUUCAGCAGCAUCUCAGUGUCAUCGGUCUUUCACCGUGCAAGAAUGCAGACAUUGCUGUCUAAGCCAGAAUAUAUUGCCCAUCUAUGAUUGCUAAGAAGGUUGUCAAGCGUCAACUGCAUUGCUGUUGGGUUGGAGUCACAUGUAAGCCAGACCGGGCAAUUAGACAGUAAGUUCAAAUCAAAUGUGAGAUCAAGAGCUGCCAGCAGUGCUCGAUUCUCAGGACCUGAGUAUCACCAGCCUUGGAACAUGGAAGGAAAAAGCAUCGUUCACAGUGAAGAGAAACUGUACAGGUGGUCUGUGUGUGGACAAGACUUCAGUCAAUCGUCUGGACUGUCGAUAUGUAAAUGCAAUCACAAUAAGAAAACA